rnacentral:rRNA from 1 species
AGAACGAACGUUGGCGGCGUGGAUUAGGCAUGCAAGUCGAACGAAUCCCCUGGGGGUAACUCUGGGGGGGAAGUGGCGAAAGGGGCAGUAAGGCGUGGGUAACCUACCCCGGGGACUGGGAUAGCCUUCCUAACGGAUGGGUAAUACCAGGCGAUUUGACGAGGGGGCAUCUCCUUGUCAGGAAACGAAUUUCGCCUCGGGAGGGGCUCACGUGAUAUUAGCUAGUUGGCGGGGUAACGGCCCACCAAGGCGAAGAUGUCUAGCGGGUGUGAGAGCACGACCCGCGCCACUGGCACUGAGACACUGGCCAGACACCUACGGGUGGCUGCAGUCGAGGAUCUUCGGCAAUGGGCGCAAGCCUGACCGAGCGACGCCGCGUGUGCGAUGAAGGCCUUCGGGUUGUAAAGCACUGUCGAGGGGGAGGAAGGCCGCAAGGCUUGACCUAUCCCUGGAGGAAGCACGGGCUAAGUUCGUGCCAGCAGCCGC